CGGCGGACGGGUGAGUAACACGUGGAUAACCUACCUAUAAGACUGGGAUAACUUCGGGAAACCGGAGCUAAUACCGGAUAAUAUAUUGAACCGCAUGGUUCAAUAGUGAAAGACGGUUUUGCUGUCACUUAUAGAUGGAUCCGNGCCGCAUUAGCUAGUUGGUAAGGUAACGGCUUACCAAGGCAACGAUGCGUAGCCGACCUGAGAGGGUGAUCGGCCACACUGGAACUGAGACACGGUCCAGACUCCUACGGGAGGCAGCAGCC
rnacentral:rRNA from 1 species